rnacentral:rRNA from 1 species
UACGUAGGGUGCAAGCGUUGUCCGGAAUUAUUGGGCGUAAAGGGCUCGUAGGCGGUCCAUCGCGUCGGGAGUGAAAAGCUGGGGCUUAACCCCAGUCCUGCUUCCGAUACGGGUGGACUAGAGGUAGGCAGGGGAGAACGGAAUUCCUGGUGUAGCGGUGAAAUGCGCAGAUAUCAGGAGGAACACCGGUGGCGAAGGCGGCAUCCUGGACCAUUACUGACGCUGAGGCGCGAAAGCUAGGGGAGCAAACGGG